CUUUACUUUGAUCCACUAUGAAAGUUCCCUUUGUCGACACUGGAUAACUUCUGCUCUAGAAUCAGCUUUACAAAUUCGAGUUACUCUAAAAUGCGAUGUAAUUCAUUUUGAUAUCUUAUCUUCACAUUUUCUUACAUUUCAAGAGUUUAACUUCAAUGUAAAAGUAGACUGCAUAUUACUGUUAGCCUUUGUUCCCUAAUUUUUCUUCUUUCACACCAAAAAACACAUAAUAUCGAAAUCAGUAAAUUAUAUCCUGAUUCUGUUAUCUCUUUCUCACCAUGUGUACUAAAAGUCUAAAAUUAACAUGAGCAAAGAUGCAACUAUAAAUUUGAUUGGUAGUAAUUAGAAAAGCAUAAUAGAAAAUGUGAAACUCAUUGAGUCAUUGUAUAUUCAAUUUCAAAGGGAAGUUCUA